ACAGCUCGCCAAGCCAACGGGAAAGGGGAGAGCGCUUCGGGAGGGAUCGGCCAAUCGGCGAGGGGAGGGGAGGGGCGGGAGCGGGGUGCCGCGCAAGGGCUGCCGGGAGUCGUAGUCACGGCGGAGCCACCGGCAGGAAGGGCAUGGCGGCGUGCGAGCUGCGCAAGCCCUGCUGCAAUCCCAGCCCGUCCCACCGGCCGCGAGCGCUGAGUGCAGCUCCCGCAGCGGCGCCGGGAGGGAAAAACGUGGAUACGUAUGAAGAGCCAGGGGGUGGCAGUGUUGGCAAAAGGCUGCAGCUCAACCUGCAUGGAAUGGCAGCGCCUGGCGGCGGGCUGCAAAGCAUCGCAGGCGUGCCGGGUUCAUUUCGCAGCCCAACGCCGUGAGCUCUGUUCGCAAAGCUUUUCGUUUAGAAUCUGAUUUUGCAGCCCGUGGGUAACCCCAGAAGUGAGUCCCUGCUCCCCCGUUGUGUGAAUGGCACAAAAGGGCCCUUUUACAUCAGGGGGAGGAUGGAGGAAUUCCCUGCACGCCUCGCCGUGUGAACGACAGAUCGACCCUUAGCCUCAAUGAUUUGCCUCCAUCUCACAAGCCAUUAAUUUCUUUAGCUGUGGUCAGAGUUCUUACAGAAGAUAAUUAAUUGUUGCCUUUGCGUCUGUCCAGACUCUUUUAAUUAAACAAAUAACGAUUGGUGUCCAUUCCACCACCCUACGGCAGGGCUUUAUCUUCUUUUCUCAGAUGCCAUCCUCACGGGGACCUGGAGCUCCACGCAAACCAGGCAGGCUGCAGAUGCCCUUGACAUGGAAGUGGAGAGGAAAUUGGGGCAGAGGAGGCUUCGUUGUUGGUUUUUUUUUUUUCCGGAGCUGGUGACAGAGAUAACUGAAAUGGAAGGGAGCUGAGGGGAGCUGCUGCUCCUGCACGGCAGUCUAAGGAGCUCACUGCAGCCACAGAGGGAACUGGAAGCACUGUGGGGAAUGUAAACAAGGCACUGUGCUCCCAGAGCCGCAUAAACACCUCAGAGAGCGACCUCAUGGCACAGGGCUGCUGGAUUUUCAGCCUGAAGAGAGCAAGGGGUAAAACUGCCUGCGCACUGCGCUUGUUCUGCCUACAGCACAGAAGGGAAAGAAGUUUAAGUCAGAUAGGAGGCACUGCUUAAUGCUGGCUAUAAAUACAGAGCUCCCAUUCUGCUCUCAGUUUACACAGAAAAGUUCAGUGUGCUUAUAUAUAUAUAUAUAAAACUUUAAAAAAUAAUGACAAAGUUCAGCUUGCACCGCAUGCCGCAGUGAAGGAGUCAGAGCACACGUGUGCAGGCUCACAGACAGCAGCCUUGCUCUGUGAGAGAGAAGCUGCACGAUGUGCUGCAGACAUCUGAGCAGCUGGAGCUGGACCAGGAUUUGUUUGCAGGUGGAAGUGGCUCAAAUAGAGCAGCUGAAAUGAAAUGUAAUGGCAUGCAUCCUUUAUUUCCCACUUCCCUUUGCUGACAGAUCAGAGGAAAAAGAAAAUCACGUGGCAGGGAAAGCCUGAUGCUCAUCCAUUUUGCUCAGCCACGUGUGAGUUGGAAGAGGGGAUGAGGGAACAAAGUGCAAACACGGAGCUGGUGGUGCUGAGUUAGUCUUCAUCAAAUAAAUACACAGAUGAGAAAGAAAGGGUCUAAUGGAGAAAUAGACUAUUAAUGUGUAAAAGCUGCUUUGUAGCCCGUGUGGCCUUCAGCCAGCAAGGUUUGUUUUCCUGGUUUCUUUGUGAAAACCUACAGCAAACACUUUCCUUCUUCUUGUGCGCCCGCCUGGCUUUACCUCCCUGCACAGCAUAAGCGAUGUUUACUUUUGAUGAUUAAUGUCUGCUGGGAAAUAUUCAGAUCAAAGGUACGACGGAACAGCAGAGCUCUAUCUAUAAGAGCACUGAAUUCUGCGUGACUUGUGUGUCAGCACAACUGCAGGCAUGUGCUGGGUCCUGUGUUGGGUGUGCUGGGUUGUGAAGGAGUGCUUCCAUAGCCUGGAGGAGGUGGGGUCAGAGCAAGCAGGGCCCAUUGCACGGCUGCUUGGAGGAAGGAGGGGAAUGCAUUUCCAGGGACGUUUGUCUUUCCAGGGAAGACAAUUAUGAUGUUAGAUAUGGAGGCAGCUGUAUCCACAGGGUGUGAUUUUGCUCUCUGAGAUACAACAAGCUCUGGUGUAUUAUAACUUAUAUAAUUUGCUUGAUUGGACACUUUUAAAGCUCUGUCUGCCCUCUCAUGCAGCUGCAUUGCUCUCCUUUUGCAGGCUAAGCAGCUUAAGCCUCAUUAUGCUCUCUUAAGCAAGUUCCACAACUCGCAGAGAGCAUCUCAGCCGGGCCAUAAAACUGCAGCACAGCACUGCAGCGUUGGCCGAUUUACUCUGGAAAACAGAUUGAAUCUCCAGGUCUCUGCGUCCCGAUGGGGGAGAAGCAGGAACAUCUUUCCUCUUUGUCACAAAUUUGCACCAAUUUCAAUCAUUCCCGGGGUGUGCAGAGAAUUGAAAGGCCUCUGUCUGCACAGUGCAGCCAAAGUAGCGAGCAGUCAGUUUGAUGCUGCAUCACAUAACAGCCGUGUGCCGGACAGUUGGUGCCAACCCACCACGAGUGCUGCUCAGCCCAGGCGUGAGGAGGUGGAAGAAUCCGACCCUGUUAUUUCAAGGCGACACUGUACCAGUUUUUGCUUCUCUUCCCUGUUUGUGGAAGAGAACCAGGGCCAGUGUUUGCUCCUGAACAAGCGUGCGGUUGUGCGCGAGCUCCUGCUGCAGUCCUGCUCCAGAUGAACGGCUGCCAUCUCGGCCAGGCCUCUCACCCAGAUAUAAAGAAGCUCUCUCGAAACGAAGAACAUUCUGGAUUUCGCACUUAAUUGGUAAAACAGAUUAAUUUGACUGCCGAGACCUGGAAGAAAGGAAUUGACGCACCUAGCUGGUGAUUCCCGUUAACAGAGGGCUCACGCUGAUUAUUUCCACCAGCAACACUUCCUGCCCAGCUCUGCCAGAGGACAAACGUCGGCGUUUCCUGCAGCCGUCCCCGAGCAGUUUGGGAACUGAUGCCAUCAACGGGAACAUCGCUGAUGUAAAGCAGCAGGAGCAA